rnacentral:lncRNA from 1 species
UGCAUCGCGAAUCCCAGGAGAACGGAUCUGAAAUAAAGCUAAGAAGAUGAUGACGAAGUAGAAGAUGGAGAUGGAGAAUGAUAGCGGUGGAAAGUGCUUGUGGAGAUCAAGGGAGCUAGGGAUCGGAGUAGGGAAUCAUCGGAGAUGUGGUCGCCGGAGCUGUGAUAGGUCUGAGGUGUUUCCCGGCGGGCGGAAGCGCCGCAGUGAUGUCUGCAGAGAGAGAGAGAGAGAGAGAGAGACAGAGAGAGACAGAGAAGAGAGUGAAGGGAGAAAAAUUAAGAUUAAGAGAGCCGGAGCUGUGAUAGGUCUGAGGUGUUUCCCGGCGGGCGGAAGCGCCGCAGUGAUGUCUGCAGAGAGAGAGAGAGAGAGAGAGAGACAGAGAGAGACAGAGAAGAGAGAGAAGUGAAGAAAAUUAAGAUUAAGAGAUUAGAGAAA